rnacentral:tRNA from 1 species
GGAGAGGUGGCUGAGUGGUCGAAAGCGGCGGUCUUGAAAACCGUUGAACCGUAAGGUUCCGUGGGUUCGAAUCCCACCUUCUCCGCCA